rnacentral:misc_RNA from 1 species
GGUUCAACAUAAUCAGGCAAUGUGGGUGGGAGUUCAACUCCUGGAAGGGGGAAUUCCAGAGAAGGCAAAGACUUGGACUUUUCACCAGUUAGCCAGCUGAAGAGACCACCUGAAGAAGAUGAUUGCAAAGCAGCAGCACUUGAACUUGCAAAUCUUGCAGGCAACUUACUGAUUCUAUGGCCCUUGAAAGCCCUAACAUGUGAAGCUGCAGCUCUGUACAUGGCUGAUAAUUGUU